UCCAAUUGAAGCAGAGGACAGUGGCGGACGGGUGAGUAACGCGUGAGCAACCUGCCUAUCAGAGGGGGAUAACGAUUGGAAACGAUCGCUAAUACCGCAUGACAUAGCGGAACCGCAUGGUUUUGCUAUCAAAGAUUUUAUCGCUGAUAGAUGGGCUCGCGUCCGAUUAGAUAGUUGGUGGGGUAACGGCCUACCAAGUCGACGAUCGGUAGCCGGACUGAGAGGUCGAACGGCCACAUUGGGACUGAGACACGGCCCAGACUCC
rnacentral:rRNA from 1 species